UCGACACGGAGAAGAGUGGGUGCCAGCAGCCGCGGUAAUACGGAGGAUGCGAGCGUUAUCCGGAUUUAUUGGGUUUAAAGGGUGCGUAGGCGGUUUAUUAAGUUAGUGGUUAAAUAUUUGAGCUAAACUCAAUUGUGCCAUUAAUACUGGUAAACUGGAGUACAGACGAGGUAGGCGGAAUAAGUUAAGUAGCGGUGAAAUGCAUAGAUAUAACUUAGAACUCCGAUAGCGAAGGCAGCUUACCAGACUGUAACUGACGCUGAUGCACGAGAGCGUGGGUAGCGAACAGGAUUAGAUACCCCGGUAGUCCAGAAGUGUUAGUAACCGCG
rnacentral:rRNA from 1 species